rnacentral:lncRNA from 1 species
AGAAAAAGGAGAAAACUCUAAACUAACGGUAAGAAUGGGAAUGGAAUGGUAGAACACUAACCUAGCAUGUAAGAGAUCCCAGGUUCAGUCCCCUGUAACUGGAGUGAAAGACAAUUGUGAGCCACCAUGUGAGUGCUAGGGAUUGAACCCGGGUCCUCUAGAUGAGCAGUCAGUACUCUUAACCAAUGAACCAUCUCUCCAGCCCAUGUCUAUGACAUUUUAAAGGAAUAUUUUAGUACAUUUUUUUAAGUAGGAAGAACAAACGAUUUGAUACUGUUGUAAACUACACCAGAAUUGACGUAUCUAUCAGCGGUUUUGGGUCAGAAACCUAAGGACUUAAAGAGGAGAGAUUUCAGCUGAACUUUUGCCUCUGACAACAUAGCCGUUUGCAAAGCUGUACUCUUAUAGAGUUUUUCCUAUCUGGUUAUGUCAAAAUUCCCAAUAAUGCUCAAUUUGCCAACUUCAAACCAUCAGCAAUUGAACGUCUGGAAGGAAACAAGUAGAUGACAUGAUGAAUGCAGGGCAUCUCAGCAGGGAGGGAGAACAAAGUUUCUCCUGAAGAGGAAAUGUUUC